GCAUAACGCGAAGAACCUUACCAAGUCUUGACAUCCCAAUGACCAGCAGAGUAACGUCUGCCUCCCUUCGGGGCAUUGGUGACAGGUGGUGCAUGGUUGUCGUCAGCUCGUGUCGUGAGAUGUUGGGUUAAGUCCCGCAACGAGCGCAACCCUUGUCCUUAGUUACCAGCACGUUAUGGUGGGCACUCUAAGGAGACUGCCGGUGACAAACCGGAGGAAGGCGGGGACGACGUCAAGUCAUCAUGGCCCUUACGUGUGGGGCUAGAAACGUGCUACAAUGGUGGUUACAGUGGGCAGCGAGGUCGUGAGGCCAAGCUAAUCCCUAAAAGCCAUCUCAGUUCAGAUUGUAGUCUGCAACUCGACUACAUGAAGUUGGAAUCGCUAGUAAUCGUGAAUCAGCAUGUCACGGUGAAUACG
rnacentral:rRNA from 1 species